GACGAACGCUGGCGGCGUGCUUAACACAUGCAAGUCGAACGGAAAGGCCCUGCUUUGGUGGGGUGCUCGAGUGGCGAACGGGUGAGUAACACGUGAGUAACCUGCCCUUGACUUUGGGAUAACUUCAGGAAACUGGGGCUAAUACCGGAUAGGAGCUCCUGCUGCAUGGGGGGGGUUGGAAAGUUUCGGCGGUUGGGGAUGGACUCGCGGCUUAUCAGCUUGUUGGUGGGGUAGUGGCUUACCAAGGCUUUGACGGGUAGCCGGCCUGAGAGGGUGACCGGCCACAUUGGGACUGAGAUACGGCCCAGACUCCUACGGGAGGCAGCAGUGGGGAAUAUUGCACAAUGGGCGGAAGCCUGAUGCAGCAACGCCGCGUGCGGGAUGACGGCCUUCGGGUUGUAAACCGCUUUCGCCUGUGACGAAGCGUGAGUGACGGUAAUGGGUAAAGAAGCACCGGCUAACUACGUG
rnacentral:rRNA from 1 species